rfam:Triticum aestivum genome assembly, contig: Triticum_aestivum_CS42_TGACv1_scaffold_112137_2AS
CAUUGGUGAGAAUCCAAUGCCCCGAAAACCCAAGGUUUCCUCCGCAAGGUUCGUCCAUGGAGGGUGAGUCAGGGCCUAAGAUCAGGACGAAAGGCAUAGUCAAUGGACAACAAGUCAAUAUUUCUGUACCACCCCUUGUUGGACGGAGGGAAUGAGGAGGCUAGGUUAGCCGAAAGAUGUUUAUAGGUUUAAGGACACAAGGUGACCCUGAUUUUUCAGGGUAAGAAGGGGUAGAGAAAAUGCCUCGAGCCG